AACUGUGCAUUUCAACUAUUUUGUCGGCUACUUGCUACCUUCCACUAGCACUAGUAUGAAAUACCGGUAACUCUGCCCAGCUAAGUAGAAGAGAAAAAAUCACCUUAGUUUUUGUUUACAACUUUGAUGACCCGUUUCUUAUUUGGAUCAGAUUACAGCAAGGACAAGCAAUAGGGUUACACAAUAGAACUCACAUACAUAGGUGACCUAUAACUUGGAUUGACACAGAAGCAUGGUGGCACUGGAGUAGACAGACCUUGCAUCAUCUGCUAGUUUGGCCAAACAAUAUUCAUCAGGGACAUUGCUUUCUACUUCAACAACUACUUUAGCAGCUGCAAUCCCAACUGCUAUACUUUGCAUGACAUCUAAACCAGCACACAAAGAAGCUAUCGUUCCACCAACUAAGCAAUCUCCAGCACCAGUAAGCCUCACUACUGAAGCAGGAAGUGCAGGAAAAUGGACAGCAAAAAGAUUUGACAUGGACUUGCAAAUUGAAGCACCAAAAAUAUUGUCCUUUGGGCAAACUGUACUAACAGCUUCAUACAACUGCUUACUGAAGUAAGGGGAUUGGUUUCCCUUGAAAGCAAGUCUCUGAAGAUUGAACUCUGCUUUGGAGCAUACGAG
rnacentral:misc_RNA from 1 species